GGGUAUAGCUUAGUGAUAGAGUGCAUGACUAGCAUGCAUGAGGUCCUGGGCUCAAUUCCUAGUACCUCCA
rnacentral:tRNA from 1 species